rnacentral:rRNA from 1 species
UACGUAGGGUGCAAGCGUUGUCCGGAAUUAUUGGGCGUAAAGAGCUUGUAGGCGGUUUGUCGCGUCUGCUGUGAAAACUCGGGGCUUAACCCCGGGCCUGCAGUGGGUACGGGCAGACUAGAGUGCGGUAGGGGAGACUGGAAUUCCUGGUGUAGCGGUGAAAUGCGCAGAUAUCAGGAGGAACACCAAUAGCGAAGGCAGCUCGCUGGGACGGUAUUGACGCUAAGGCGCGAAAGCGUGGGGAGCAAACAGG